GAAGGUUGAGGCGGCGGGGAGAGGCGAAGCCGCGAGCGCUCGGCCGGGCGGUCCCGCCGGGUGGUCGCAGCCAUGACAGCGGCUCCCCUUCCGCGCCCCUCCCGCCGGAGAUGAGGGAAGAUGUCCCUGUCAGGGUUAAGGCCAAGCUGAAGUUGCUGGCGUCUACCUUCCACAAGAACCAGGAGCCGCAGCCGCGGCUCACGCUCCACUGCAACAGACGUUUGUGUUUAAGGAGAAACUAACAAUGAAAACGGCCUCGUUGACGGAGGAAAAGUUGGAAUGCAGCCUCUGGUGCUGUUUGAGCGAUCCCUCUCCCCGGGGCCUGGCCGCGCGCUGCUGUGUUCUGGAAGGGCUCAUUGUACAGUCAAGGCGGCAGGGCCUUCUUCUGUCACCCAUGCUGGAGUGCAGUAGCAUGAUCACAGCUCACGGUAGCCUCCACCUUCUGGGCUCAAUCCUCCUACCUCAGCCUUCCAAGUAGCUGGGACUACAGACUAGCCCUGCUUGCAACUUCCACGUGCAGUCCUCCGCAAUGCUGCCAGAGCGGCAGCUACAACUCUAUGAUUGAAGGCAUCGCCCUCCUGGUUCUCCAUAUUGUUUGCCAUCUUGGACAGAUAAACUAGAUGAGCUCUUUUUUCAACACUCAGAGAAUGUUUUGAAUUCACAUUUCUGCCAUCUUACUCACCUAUUCGAAUCAGUUCCCUCCCCCUCCCUUGUAUCAAAUAUUGUCUCUGAUAAUAAUACAUUGAGUUAUUUGUAGUUCCUGAAGAAUUUCAUGUUCUUAUAACAUGAAAUUUUUUCCCACACUAUUUGUUAUAACUAGUUUACCUAUUUCUGCCUAAAUAAAAUCUUCUCCAAAUUUC
ensembl:lncRNA novel transcript